GGAAAGGAGCCUACACCAUUGCUCUCCGUUCCUGACUGGAUUGAUGUGACGGCUGCUUCAAGCUCCUGCCUCCUGACUUCCCCAUCCAUGAUGAACUGAACCCUUGAACUACUCCAUACAUCUGCACUUAUUUCUUUUAGGUCUGUGGAACACACUGAAUGCAUUUCUACCCUCAGGCUUUUGCAUACAAGUCUGUACUGGUGGUCACACAGGCCAUGUAUGAACAGCAAGACGUGGUCUUCAAAAUCGCAUUUCCAGUCUCUCUAUGCAAGGUGGAACCAGAGCUGAUCCUGUAGUCUGGAUGCAGAGGUCCUCUGGGGGCUCCCUUGUUAAAGGCUUGGGCUCCCUGGGUAAUGUUGUUGGAAGACAAUAAAUACCCCAGUGAACGUUCUUUAGGUCAUCACUAGCAUGCCCUUGAAGUUGGUCUCUGCCUCCAGGCUCAUACAUUUGCCUGUUACCGCAUCUGCCUUGAUCUUUUAUCUAUGACAAAUGUCCAAAGGAAUGAAGCUGACUGCCUCGUCUUAGACUGAAACUUUCAUAAGCAAGGGCCCCAAAAAAGCCAUUUUUCUUUAUAUAUUGGUUGUGUCAGGUAUUUUGUUACAGUAAUAGGAAGAUGACUGAUACAGAGGAGUUAUCAAUCUCCGAGAAAAUUCUGUCUGCUUUUCUGAACGUGUCAUCUCUGUUUAGAGCCUUGUUUAGGGAGUGUUGCUGAAGAAGAAUACUGUUUUCUCUGAGCCACAACAACGGCUACAGAAGUUGUAAUAGUAAAGCUAAGAUGAUGCCUCUUUGCUCAUAAACUGUUAUGAAUUUUAACGUAAGGGAUAGUUACUUCUAGCAUCCACAUUGGUGCUGUCACGCUCCAUGAACCUGGUUCUCUGGGGCCCAUUAAAAUCUAUUUUAAACAAGG